rnacentral:rRNA from 1 species
UACGGAGGGGGCGAGCGUUAUUCGGAAUCAUUGGGCGUAAAGGGCGCGUAGGCGGCUUCAUAAGUCUUGGGUGAAAGCCCUCGGCUCAACCGAGGAAUUGCCUUGGAUACUGUGAAGCUCGAGGCUGGAAGAGGGCAGUGGAAUUCCCGGUGUAGCGGUGAAAUGCGCAGAUAUCGGGAGGAACACCAAUGGCGAAGGCAGCUCGCUGGGACGGUACUGACGCUGAGACGCGAAAGCGUGGGGAGCAAACAGG